rnacentral:lncRNA from 1 species
GUGAGUGGCCGAAUCCAAACUUGAUUAGAAAUUGAACCCAAUCUAACUUGAUUGGUCUGGUGAACAAGCGACACAUUAAUAUAGCUAAUUUCAAAAUGUUAGAAUUUGAUGUUUCAAGAUUCGGUCCAUACUAAGCCUACAGUGAGAUCCGCGACAACAAACGAAGUCCAACGAGCCUAAGAUCAAUCUAAAUAGAGUCUGAAUGAAGAAGUUAUGGUCAAAAAA